CUCCUGAUUCCUUUCGAGCAAUAAACUCCUUGUCUGAGUUGUGGGACACUCAUUUGAGCAGGAUGCUUUCCAAUGAAGAUACUCGUAAUACCAUAUCAUGUUUCUGAGAGGAACUCGGCCUAUUUAUACUUGUGCUCGGGGGUUUAUCGAGUAAAUAGUUGGCAGCUCAGUUACUCUUAUCUUAUUGUGAGAACUUUUAGCCUGUUAUUGUUUAACUGAGAGGAUAUUAAAAAGGUUGGAAAACUAUAUUUCAUUGUCUUUUGUUAUGUCUCUUUAGAGAUGCAGUACAGAGAAUAAUUGUACUUACAACAAGGUAUUUGUCAGUACAUCAAGUUAGUACCCUCCUUUUGCUACUAUAAAUACAUGGAUUUGUUGGACUAAUUAUGAAAUAGAUUCGAUCUUCUCCCUCUUGAAUUUGAGUUGUUAAGCCAUGGUUUUGGGGCCACUUAUACUUUUCGCAUGAGCUCUGAGCUUCGAGCAGCAGAGAGAAUUGAUUCAAUAAGGAACUCCAAUGGUGUUCAUGUAAGGCGGAUCCAUCAAGUUGAAAUUAGCCGUAUCCGGAUUGUAGUUACCCGUGCCAUACCCCACGACGUAGAAACUGUAGCCAUGAAGAUGAAUUGGAUGAUUCUCAGUCGAGACAGUGCCAGUAUCCUGCAAAAUGAGUUGAACCCUUGUCCCAUACUCAAGCACAAACAACCUCGUCCCAUUCAUCGCGUUGGUGUCAUUAGGAGCAUUGUUAGGCGCCCCGUUAACAAAAUCGUAAAAUUUUAAGGGUGCCCCGGGGAAAUCAUCAGUGAAGUAGCCAGCUUUAUCCCUGUAAUAAGCUUCUAAAAGUGAAACAUUAGGUCUAAUGAAACUUAUAUUGUUCAUGGAAGCAGCAAACACCCCACCAUUAGUGCCUUGGCAGUUUUUCUUGGGGUUUUUUCUAUUACACUUAUUCACAUUCACACCUAUGGUGACAAACAAGUUCUUGUCAAUUACUUUAGGAACAUCCGAGGUGUUGAGGCCCCGGAGCCCGUCCAUUACAGUUUUAACGGCAAGAUUGUCGUUGAAACUAGGUAGCAUGGCUGACAUGUAUGGCCCGACAGCCAUGGAGUAUCUACUUAUGGGCUGAUCUGCUGUGACGAGGACGUUGAGGGUCUGGCCCGGCGCGAGCAUCACCUUGUCGGUGUGGAGCGCCUUUGUGUACUCUGCAUCUGCUUCGACUAUGGUGAGCUUGUGAUUAGCAAUUGCAAAGAAGUUUUCUGUGUUCAAUCCCGCGUUGAUCAACCUCAGCAGGUAGGUCUUCCCGGGUACCACGUUCAUCCUGUACACAUCUAAGGAACGUUUCUGCUUAAUUUACCUUUUUCUUACAUCUCA